UACGAAGGGGGCUAGCGUUGCUCGGAAUUACUGGGCGUAAAGGGCGCGUAGGCGGACAGUUAAGUCAGAGGUGAAAGCCCAGGGCUCAACCCUGGAAUUGCCUUUGAUACUGGCUGUCUUGAGUGCGGGAGAGGUGUGUGGAACUCCGAGUGUAGAGGUGAAAUUCGUAGAUAUUCGGAAGAACACCAGUGGCGAAGGCGACACACUGGCCCGUAACUGACGCUGAGGCGCGAAAGCGUGGGGAGCAAACAGG
rnacentral:rRNA from 1 species